UGGGGAAUAUUGCACAAUGGAGGGAACUCUGAUGCAGCGACGCCGCGUGAGUGAUGAAGGACUUCGUUUCUUAAAACCCUGUUCUAUGGGAAGAAAAGGACUGUACCAUAGGAGAAAGCUCCGGCUAAAUACGUGCCAGCAGCCGCGGUAAUACGUAUGGAGCGAGCGUUGUCCGGAAUUAUUGGGCGUAAAGGGUGCGCAGGCGGCUUUACAAGUUGGAUGUGAAAUAUUGUGGCUCAACCACAAACGUGCAUCCAAAACUGCAAAGCUUGAGUUAAGGAGAGGUAAGUUGAAUUCCUGGUGUAGCGGUGGAAUGCGUAGAUAUCAGGAGGAAUACCGGUGGCGAAGGCGACUUACUGGACUUAAAAUGACGCUCAGGCACGAAAGCGUGGGGAGCAAACAGG
rnacentral:rRNA from 1 species